rnacentral:rRNA from 1 species
AUUGAACGCUGGCGGCAGGCCUAACACAUGCAAGUCGAACGGUAACAGGCUGAACCUUUCCUCUUUCCUGCCGCGUGCCGGAUGCGUGAGUAAUGUCCGUGACACUGCUGGAUGGAGGGGGCUAACUACUGGAAACGGUAGCUAUUACCCCAUACCGUCGCACGCCCCCAAAGGGAGGCAUCCCCGCCUCUUGCCCUCGGGUUUGCCCAGAUGGGGUUAGCUAGUGGGUGGGGGUACGGCUCACCUAGGCGACGAUCCCUAGCUGGUUUGAGAGGAUGACCAGCCACACUGGAACUGAGACACGGGCCAGACGCCUACGGGAGGCAGCAGUGGGGAAUAUUGCACAAUGGGCGAAAGCCUGAUCCAGCCAUGCCGCGUGUAUGAAGAAGGCCUUCGGGUUGGAAAGUACUUUCAUCGGGGAGGAAAGGAUUACAGUUAAUACCCUUGCUUAUUGACGUUACCCACAGAAGAAGCACCGGCUAACUCCGUG